rnacentral:lncRNA from 1 species
ACUAUCAAAAGAUUGGAAGAAAAAUCUGCAACAUACCUUCUUUGAAGAAGAACCCUUUCUUCUUCAAUCUUGCUUGCAAUGGAAGAAGAGGAAGGAGGAAGCUUGUGCGUGGAUCUUCCUUGCCUUGCUGCCGUGGAGGAAGAGGAAGAAGAAUCCUCUUGCUGCCGUGGACAAGGAGGAAGAGGAAGGCUUGAGGCGUGAUGGAAGAACUCCUUCCUUGCCGUGUAGAGCUUCUCUUUCUUUGUCCUUCUUCUUCAAACUUCCAACGCCUUGGAAGGAGAGGGAGAAGGAUCUUCCCUUGUUGCCGUGAGAGAGGAGGAAUGGCUCCUUUUGCUGCCGUGGAGAAGGGAGAAAGGAAGAUGGAUGAGGCGUAAAGAAGAAUUGCCCUAUAAUGCUCUCACACGCCUCCUAUUUAUAGAUUGGGUCUAGGAUUUUCAAAAGCUUAUCUAGACUAAGAGAUAAACUCUACAUAACCACCCAACCUUUGGAUCAAUGCCAACUGUUCAGUCCAUGUAUCCAUGGCGCCAUACAACCAUUGCAUGACAAGUGGACUUUGAAGUCCGCAUAGUGUGAAUAUGACUUAAGUCAUUUUCAUCCUACGAUGACAUGUGGACUUUAAAGUCCGCACAUGACUUAUGUCAUUUAUAUCCUACGAUGCCAUGUGGUCUUUAAAGUCCGCAUAGUGUGAAUACGAUUUAAGUCAUAUUCAUCCUACGAUGACAUGUGGACUUUAAAAACCACACAUAUCCUGAUCUAAUCAAGGUUGACCCAAUCAUGAACCCAAAUCAAUCUGGGUCGAACCCAAUUUGAUUUGGCUCAUUAAAUCAGCCCAAUUGCAAUCAAUUCCACUCAAUUCUUCUUCCAUUAACGCACUAACACUCAGUGGGUUAAUUCAAUCAUCAAUCAUACUGAUAAUUGACAUCUAUUGUGAUUCUAAAUCACAAUUAUGAUAGUCUGACUAAUCAAAUCCUCUAUGUGUGUGACCCCGUAGGUUCUAUUCUAUCUGGUAGUGAGACAUAUUGAGAUCUCUAUCUCAAUAUCACUGAAACUCUUUUCAGUGGACUGAAACAAUUUCAGUUCUACUCUUAGGGUUCACUGAUCACCAAGUGAAUGCCUUCGAGUCUCACAAUCCACUAGUGAUACCUAGCAGUAUGUGGUGGCAAUCCAGCAGAAUGGAACGUCUGAACCUCUAGGUGCAGUUAACGUAUGAUACAGUCCCUCUAUCAUGGAUCCCGACAUGACGGAGGUUAUGGAUAACUCGUCAAACCCCAUCAUCUGUCGUAUGUCUAAUUUAUUCGACUUCCAGUUCGAGAUAUGGAAAACUCUUUCUCCAAAAUAUCUGGCUAGAAAUUUAUCGAACUCAGUCUCAUAAAUCACAUAAGAUCACUCCUAAUCUAUCAAGGUCGAUAGAUCUCAUCUAGAUGCAACCCUAUUCCAAAAUGAACCUACUGCAGCCAAUCCGCACCACAAGGACCCGAAGGGCUAGGGCCUAAGUCCGCGUGCUCGUCAAAUUGCAGCAACCUCACGGUGAAUAGCUGAAGCAUCACAGGUCAAAGGACCAGUCAUACAACUGCAGCACAAGUAGUCACUGACGAAUGGAUAGACAUCCAUGUGACUACUUUCUUUGGUCACGCUCAGUACCUUGUUCUCUAACAAGUACUUGCACAAUUACUCCAGUAUCUCUACACCGUGGACUCGAGACUCGUUCAUAUGACUAAGUGAUCUGUGCACUAAUCUCAGCGGAUCGAUUACCGUCCCUCAUAAUGGAUCCAUUGAUCAGGAGCAUUUAGAAAUUAAUCCCUAAUGACACAUGCCUCAAAUUCUCAACUCCUUGAGAAUAUGUGUCAUCAUCUAUUAAUUUCUUGGACGAUUCAUAGACACAUACAAACAUGAAUGCUAAACAAAUUGCCCAAUCUUAUUUAUUAAUAAGAGUCAAAUUAUAAAUUUGUGCUCCAGAUUACAAAUAUGUGUCAGCCACAUUGGCUUAUAGGGCAUACUUCUAACAGUCUAAAAUAAAAUAUUUUAGUUUCUAAGUAUUUUAUAUAUCGUAAAUCAUGAUCGACAUUGCUAAUUAUCAUUUUGAGAAGGUCUUAACUGUUUUUCAUUACAAAGCGUCUGGAAUCAAAUGAUCUCAAAAUUAGCCUCUGAUGCCGGACCAAAUCUGGAGGAAGAACUUCAGCGGGAUUUUAAACCAGAACAGAAGAAGAGGGAGAAGAGAAAGAGGAGGGGGAGAAGAGGGAGAAGAGAAGAAGAGAGAAGGAGAUUAGGUGGGGAGAAAAUUUCUAAUUCUUCAUUAAAACCCUAAUCAACAUAAAAGUUCUCUUUAAAUAGGGCCCCAUAAGAACAAUUAAAAUAAACCCCUUACAUAAAAUAAUUCCCCACAAAUAAGCCCUAAAAUGCAAAUAAGCCCAGAAUAAAAUAAACCACAAAUAAAUCCCUAAACACAAAUAAACCCAGAAAUAACAAUAAGCAAAUAUGCAAAUAAAAUGGGGACCUAGCUGAUGUCCCCAUCAACUCCUCCCGGGUGAGAAAAGCUCGACCCCGUCGAGUGUAAAUCGGGUCGGCUGUCGUACUACUCCAGAAGAUCCGGGUCAAGGCGCUGCAACUCAGCUCGCAAAAUCCACGACACAUCUGAUUCGAGUCGACCUUUCCACCGAACAAGGUAACGUUGGUAGCUUCCUCUCCUGGUAGAUAUAACCUGCUCAUCUAAUAUAUGUUCUAUAUGUUCUCUGCGUGCAUGAAACUGUGGAUGUGGAGGCUCACUAGCAGGUGCUAGAGCAGGGUGACCAACAAUAGUGGAUGUAUCAACAAAAGGGUCAGAAGGAAUGAAUGUUGAUUUCUUGUAUGGGACUAAAUCUUCAAUAUUAAAUGUCGCACUAAUCCCAUAGUCUUCAGGAAGAUCUACAACAUACGCAUUCGAACUGAUUUUCUUUAGGACUUGGAACGGUCCCGCACUACGAGAUUGCAACUUU